rnacentral:rRNA from 1 species
UACGUAGGGUGCAAGCGUUGUCCGGAAUUAUUGGGCGUAAAGAGCACGCAGGCGGUUUGGCAAGUCGGAUGUGAAAACCCGAAGCUCAACUUCGGGCCUGCAUCCGAAACUGCCCGACUAGAGGUAGGUAGGGGAGAUCGGAAUUCCGCGUGUAGCAGUGAAAUGCGUAGAUAUGCGGAGGAACACCGAUGGCGAAGGCAAUCCCCUGGGCCUGCACUGACGCUCAUGCACGAAAGCGUGGGGAGCAAACAGG